UACAGAGGUCCCAAGCGUUGUUCGGAUUCACUGGGCGUAAAGGGUGCGUAGGUGGUGAAGUAAGUCGGAUGUGAAAUCUCGGAGCUUAACUCCGAAACUGCAUUGGAAACUACUUUGCUCGAGGGUUGGAGGGGGGACUGGAAUUCUCGGUGUAGCAGUGAAAUGCGUAGAUAUCGAGAGGAACACCAGUGGCGAAGGCGAGUCCCUGGACAACUCCUGACACUGAGGCACGAAGGUCAGGGGAGCAAACGGG
rnacentral:rRNA from 1 species